UGGGGAAUUUUCCGCAAUGGGCGAAAGCCUGACGAGCAAUGCCGCGUGGAGGUGGAAGGCCUACGGGUCGUCAACUUCUUUUCUCGGAGAAGAAACAAUGACGGUAUCUGAGGAAUAAGCAUCGGCUAACUCUGCGCCAG
rnacentral:rRNA from 1 species